AUAAUUAUCUUUAUCAUUGCUGUUCUGUGCCUCUCUGGGAUAGUAGUUUAUUGUUGCCUUAAAAAGAAAUCCAGGAAGUACUCUGUGGAAUUACAUCCCAAACAAGAAGAUGCUCAGAUCCCACUCAGCACAGUGGAUGUAGAGGUGUUUGACACCACAUCAGUCAAAGAUAUGCAAACAUUCACUCCUGUCGAGUCCACCAAGCCUGCGCCUGUGAAAGAAUCUGAGAAGCCUGAGGAAGGGAAAGAAUCAGCUGAUGUUAAACAAGAAAACCAACAGAAUUUAUCCAGCACUCAGGCCACAGAGAACCCAAAGGAUAAAAUAGAGGGGCUGACUGUAGUGGAUCUGACUGAUGGAGAACGGACAAUCUCCACUAAAACCUCAAUGGAAUCCCUAGAUGAUGUUCUCAAUGAAAACAACAGCAACAAUACAAGAGUUGAAGUCAAGGGCAAUGGGUAUGAUUUCACUGAAAUCUCUAUUGACGCUUUACUUCUAAAAUAGAUCAGGUUCUUCCCAGCAUUUUACAAUGAUCUCUGAACCUGACUGAUGGGUUAUUUUAAACUGGAAGUAACAGCUGAAAUAAAUUGUAAACUAUGUGAGUCACUGUUAGAACAACGUUGUUUGAAUAUACAUACAGCACUAAGAAAAGUCUGUAAAAACAGGGCCCAGUAUAUUGUGUUAAUGUAAAGAAAUGUUCUGUAUAAAUUCUCACUAGUGUUUCACUCAUAUUUUAAAAUGCAUUGUGUUGUUUUAUGGUUAAAGGAAAUAUGCAUAAAUUUAAUGGAGUACAAC
rnacentral:lncRNA from 1 species